UACGUAGGGUGCGAGCGUUGUCCGGAAUUAUUGGGCGUAAAGAGCUUGUAGGCGGUCUGUCGCGUCUGCUGUGAAAAUCCGGGGCUCAACCCCGGACUUGCAGUGGGUACGGGCAGACUAGAGUGUGGUAGGGGAGACUGGAAUUCCUGGUGUAGCGGUGAAAUGCGCAGAUAUCAGGAGGAACACCGAUGGCGAAGGCAGGUCUCUGGGCCACUACUGACGCUGAGAAGCGAAAGCAUGGGGAGCUAACAGG
rnacentral:rRNA from 1 species